rnacentral:rRNA from 1 species
UGGUGGGGUGACUUGUCUGCUUAAUUGCGAUAACGAACGAGACCUUAACCUGCUAAAUAGCCGCAUUGCUCCGGCAGUGCGCUGGCUUCUUAGAGGGACUUUCGGCUCAAGCCGAAGGAAGUUUGAGGCAAUAACA